rnacentral:rRNA from 1 species
UACGUAGGGACCGAGCGUUGUCCGGAAUCAUUGGGCGUAAAGAGCGUGUAGGCGGCCCCUUAAGUCCUGCGUGAAAUCCUUCGGCUCAACCGCAGACGGUCGUGGGAAACUGGAGGGCUAGAGUGCGGGAGAGGAGAGUGGAAUUCCCGGUGUAGCGGUGAAAUGCGCAGAUAUCAGGAGGAACACCGGUGGCGAAGGCGGGUCUCUGGGCCGUAACUGACGCUGAGGAGCGAAAGCAUGGGGAGCGAACAGG